rnacentral:lncRNA from 1 species
CUCGAUUCGAAACUCAGGAGGAAGUGGUGAGAGGGGGACCUGCACUGAACAGAGUUUUUAGGCAUAUUUCAUCCUUAGAGAAUAACUACAUUUCUGUUAGGAAUGGAAGUGAAAACAAAAAUAUAUUGAUAAUUUAGGGCAGAGAUGUCAAACUGCAAACCUUCCAAGCAUUGCCUGAGCCAGAUUUGAAUGUAACUGGGAAAUGUUUGACAAAACAUUUUGAUAAUUUAGGUAGUAUUAAUUUAUGGUUUUCCAAGUCAACAUAUGGCCUGCAAAGAUCCAUUUCUAUCUGAGUCUGACACCAUUGAUUUAGGUGAUAUCCACAUCAUGGGUACUACCAAGAUUUUCCUGCUCCUUCUCUCAGUGGCCCUGUUGGCCCUGAGCUCAGCUCAAGGAACACCCAAGGAAGCCCCAAGACAGCAACCUGCUGAACCUGAACCAGCCCCAAGGCAACAAACUAGGAAAAGUAAAGGAGAACCAGGCGAACCACCUGAAGGAGAACCAGGUCCACCACCUGAAGGAGAACCAGGUCCACCACCUGAAGGAGAACCAGGCGAACCACCUGAAGGAGAACCAGGUCCACCACCUGAAGGUAAGUAAUAUGUCGAUCUCUAAACACUCCUUUCUUUCCCCGUUCCUUGAGGACCCUAGACCUUGUCUCUCAUUUGAAACCAUUUGGCACAUCCACGCUUAAAGUUCAGUACCAAGAAAGAGAGGGUAAUAAUGAACUAAGAGGGUGGUCAGCUUAAAAGGCUUUGUUUUCUCUUGCCAUUGCAUAGCUCUCAUAUUUCCACCAGAGAAUUUCCCAGAUCAAAAAUCCAAAAUGAUUUUGUCAUCUUUUCCCAAAGCAUAGUUUGCUUUUUUCCAUUGCCUAAUAUCCUAGAUCAAACAUUUCAAGAUCACAUUGUAAUAUGUAAUGCAAUGUUCUCUUCAUGUCUCUGCAGUGUGGGUAUUUCUCUCUCUCUUUCUCUGUGUUUUCACAGUCCCUCUGUGUCUGGUCUUUCUCUGAAUCGAUAUCUUUAUCUCUCUGUCUCUGUCUCGUUUUUUCUCUGCCUUUCUCUCCCUCUGUCUCUCUCUUUUCACACACACACACACACACACACACACACACACCAUACACACACACACAUU